rnacentral:rRNA from 1 species
UACGUAGGGUGCGAGCGUUAAUCGGAAUUACUGGGCGUAAAGUGUGCGCAGGCGGCCGCGCAAGUCGAGUGUGAAAGCCCCGGGCUUAACUUGGGAAUUGCGCUCGAAACUACGUGGCUGGAGUGUGGCAGAGGAAGGUGGAAUUCCACGUGUAGCGGUGAAAUGCGUAGAGAUGUGGAGGAACACCAAUGGCGAAGGCAGGUCUCUGGGCCACUACUGACGCUGAGAAGCGAAAGCAUGGGGAGCGAACAGG